rnacentral:rRNA from 1 species
UGGGGAAUUUUGGCCAAUGGGGGAAACCCUGAUCCAGCCAUCCCGCGUGUGCGAUGAAGGCCUUCGGGUUGUAAAGCACUUUUGGCAGGAAAGAAACGUCAUGGGUUAAUACCCCGUGAAACUGACGGUACCUGCAGAAUAAGCACCGGCUAACUACGUGCCAGCAGCCGCGGUAAUACGUAGGGUGCAAGCGUUAAUCGGAAUUACUGGGCGUAAAGCGUGCGCAGGCGGUUCGGAAAGAAAGAUGUGAAAUCCCAGAGCUCAACUUUAGAGCUGCAUUUUUAACUACCGGGCUAGAGUGUGUCAGAGGGAGGUGGAAUUCCGCGUGUAGCAGUGAAAUGCGUAGAUAUGCGGAGGAACACCGAUGGCGAAGGCAGCCACCAGAGAUAACACUGACGCUCAUGCACGAAAGCGUGGGGAGCAAACAGG